CACGUAUUUAGCCGGGGCUUCUUAGUCAGGUACCGUCAUUUUCUUCCCUGCUGAUAGAGCUUUACAUACCGAGGUACUUCUUCGCUCACGCGGCAUCGCUGCAUCAGGGUUCCCCCCAUUGUGCAAUAUCCCCCACUGCUGCCUCCCGUAGGAGUCUGGGCCGUGUCUCAGUCCCAAUGUGGCCGUCCACCCUCUCAGGCCGGCUACUGAUCGUCGCCUUGGUGGGCCGUUGCCCCGCCAACCAGCUAAUCAGACGCGGGCCCAUCCCGCACCACCGGAGUUUUCCACACUGCUUCAUGCAAAGCUGUGCGCAUAUGCGGUAUUAGCAGCCGUUUCCGGCUGUUGUCCCCCAGUGCGGGGCAGGUUGCCCACGCGUUACUCACCCGUCCGCCACUCAGUCAUAUGCCCUUCCCCCGGAGGGUUCCAGGCAUGCGCUUCGUUCGACUUGCAUGUGUUAGGCACGCCGCCAGCGUUCAUCCUGAGCCAGGAUA
rnacentral:rRNA from 1 species